AUUAUUAUAAUUUUUAUUUGUGAAUUAAAUAUAUUAAAAAUUAUAUUAUAUGAUAAAUUGAUAAGCAUAUAAUAUAAUAUAUGUAAAAAUAUGUUAUAAUACCAUAUAAUAAAUAUGAGUCCGGCUACUAUACUAUUAUGAGUACGAUCGCCCUCGUACUCGUAAGUUAUUUUCGAUGAUAGAGCUUCCGAAUCGACGAUUCACACCGUUAAACAUUAUCUAGUGCAUUUGAUAUAUCUAGAAAUCAAAUUUUAUAAUUUUUCGACAUCAUUUACCUUACGAUCAAAAGCUCACAAAAUUGACAAUUUUUAACGACCAGUAUGGAAUACUUGCUAGUUUAAUGGUGCAAAAGAAUCCGAAUAGUUUGAAUUUUUGAUAGAAAAUUAUAUUCACUACCUAGAUAAAGAUCAAUAACUCGGAUCUUAAAUUGUGAAGGAUCCGAUCAUUCAUUUUUAAGACAUCGUUCGAUUUUGACCGUUCAUUUUAUGCCCGCUUGAUGAACUUUAUAAUAAUUUCGAAAAAUUACGAAAUUUAUUUUCUAGAAGUUUCAAAUAUUCUAGAUCAUAUUUAACAAAGUAGAUCGUCGAUUUGGAAGCUCCAUCAUCGAAAACAACUUAUGAGUACGAAUGGCCCAAUAUUCAUAAUAGUAUAGUAGCCCUACUCUAAUAUAUAUAUAUAUAUAUAUAUAUAUAUAUAGUAUGGCUACUGUGCUAUUAGGAGCACAACGCCCUUUUGCUCAUAACUUUCUAACCAUCUAUAAAUUUUGAUGGAUGGUUAGGGUGAGAAAGAGAAGAAAAAUUGAGUAUCUUAAUUUC
rnacentral:lncRNA from 1 species